AGCAGUCGCGGUAAUUCCAGCUCCAAUAGCGUAUAUUAAAGUUGUUGCAGUUAAAAAGCUCGUAGUUGAAUUUCGAGAUCAAAUUGUUGGUCGUGCCUUGGUACGUACUGGCAUUAUUGGUUUCUCCCUUCUGACGAACCAUGAUGUCAUUAAUUUGGUGUCAUGGGGAAUCAGGACUGUUACUUUGAAAAAUUAGAGUGUUUAAAGCAGGCAUACGCUUGAAUACAUUAGCAUGGAAUAAUGAAAUAGGACGUUUGAUUCUAUUUUGUUGGUUUCUAGGAUCGACGUAAUGAUUAAUAGGGAUAGUUGGGGGCAUUAGUAUUCAAUUGUCAGAGGUGAAAUUCUUGGAUUUAUUGAAGACUAACUACUGCGAAAGCAUUUGCCAAGGAUGUUUUCAUUAAUCAAGAACGAAAGUUAGGGGAUCGAAGACGAUCAGAUACCGUCGUAGUCUUAACCAUAAACUAUGCCGACUAGGGAUCGGAUGAUGUAUUUUAAUGA
rnacentral:rRNA from 1 species